rnacentral:rRNA from 1 species
GGUUAAGCGACUAAGCGUACACGGUGGAUGCCCUGGCAGUCAGAGGCGAUGAAGGACGUGCUAAUCUGCGAAAAGCGUCGGUAAGGUGAUAUGAACCGUUACAGCCGGCGAUGUCCGAAUGGGGAAACCCAGUGCAAUUCGUUGCACUAUCGUUAACUGAAUACAUAGGUUAACGAGGCGAACCGGGGGAACUGAAACAUCUAAGUACCCCGAGGAAAAGAAAUCAACCGAGAUUCCCCCAGUAGCGGCGAGCGAACGGGGAGCAGCCCAGAGUCUGAAUCAGCUUGUGUGUUAGUGGAACGGUCUGGAAAGUCCGACGGUACAGGGUGAUAGUCCCGUACACCAAAAUGCACAGGCUGUGAACUCGAAGAGUAGGGCGGGACACGUGGUAUCCUGUCUGAAUAUGGGGGGACCAUCCUCCAAGGCUAAAUACUCCUGACUGACCGAUAGUGAACCAGUACCGUGAGGGAAAGGCGAAAAGAACCCCGGCGAGGGGAGUGAAAAAGAACCUGAAACCGUGUACGUACAAGCAGUGGGAGCACCUUUAUGGUGUGACUGCGUACCUUUUGUAUAAUGGGUCAGCGACUUAUAUUCUGUAGCAAGGUUAACCGUAUAGGGGAGCCGCAGGGAAACCGAGUCUUAACUGGGCGUUAAGUUGCAGGGUAUAGACCCGAAACCCGGUGAUCUAGCCAUGGGCAGGUUGAAGGUUGGGUAACACUAACUGGAGGACCGAACCGACUAAUGUUGAAAAAUUAGCGGAUGACUUGUGGCUGGGGGUGAAAGGCCAAUCAAACCGGGAGAUAGCUGGUUCUCCCCGAAAGCUAUUUAGGUAGCGCCUCGUGAAUUCAUCUUCGGGGGUAGAGCACUGUUUCGGCUAGGGGGUCAUCCCGACUUACCAACCCGAUGCAAACUACGAAUACCGAAGAAUGUUAUCACGGGAGACACACGGCGGGUGCUAACGUCCGUCGUGAAGAGGGAAACAACCCAGACCGCCAGCUAAGGUCCCAAAGUCAUGGUUAAGUGGGAAACGAUGUGGGAAGGCACAGACAGCCAGGAUGUUGGCUUAGAAGCAGCCAUCAUUUAAAGAAAGCGUAAUAGCUCACUGGUCGAGUCGGCCUGCGCGGAAGAUGUAACGGGGCUAAACCAUGCACCGAAGCUGCGGCAGCGACACUAUGUGUUGUUGGGUAGGGGAGCGUUCUGUAAGCCUGCGAAGGUGACCUGUGAGGGUUGCUGGAGGUAUCAGAAGUGCGAAUGCUGACAUAAGUAACGAUAAAGCGGGUGAAAAGCCCGCUCGCCGGAAGACCAAGGGUUCCUGUCCAACGUUAAUCGGGGCAGGGUGAGUCGACCCCUAAGGCGAGGCCGAAAGGCGUAGUCGAUGGGAAACAGGUUAAUAUUCCUGUACUUGGUGUUACUGCGAAGGGGGGACGGAGAAGGCUAUGUUAGCCGGGCGACGGUUGUCCCGGUUUAAGCAUGUAGGCUG